UGCAAAUGAUGCAAUUUUUCACGAUGGUCUUCCAAGCUCUCUGGUAGCUCUGACGAAGUCGCCUUUGGCAAACACUGAUGCAGCCGU
rnacentral:snoRNA from 1 species